UACGUAGGGUGCAAGCGUUACUCGGAAUUACUGGGCGUAAAGCGUGCGCAGGCGGUGAUGUAAGACAGGUGUGAAAUCCCCGGGCUUAACCUGGGAACUGCAUUUGUGACUGCAUCGCUGGAGUGCGGCAGAGGGGGAUGGAAUUCCGAGUGUAGAGGUGAAAUUCGUAGAUAUUCGGAGGAACACCGGUGGCGAAGGCGGCCACCUGGCCCGGAACUGACGCUCAAGCGCGAAAGCGUGGGGAGCAAACAGG
rnacentral:rRNA from 1 species